GAUGAACGCUGACGGAAUGCUUAACACAUGCAAGUCGAAGGGGAAGUGGUGCUUUCACCAUGGUAACCAUGGCGGACGGGGGAGUAACGCGUAAGGAACUUACCUGCGGGACCUGGAUAACAGCAGGAAACUGCUCACAAGACCGGAGAAGGGCAUUAAUGCGCCUAGCUGAGUGAUGAAAGGAGACGCCUGCGGAGAGCCUUGCGUCCUCUUAUCUAGUUGGAGGUGUAGCAGCGCACCACGGCGAAGAUAGGUAGCGGGCCUGAGAGGGGGGACGGCCACAAGGGGACUGAGACACCGCACUUACCUCCGCGAGAGGGAGGAGUGGGAAAUAGUGGACUAGGGGGGCAACUGUGAUCGAGCCAUUCUGUGUGCACGAAGACGGUUUUCGGAGUGUACAGUGCUUUCAGCAGGGAAGAAGGAAGUGACGGUACCUGCAGAAGAAGCGACGGCUAAAUACGUG
rnacentral:rRNA from 1 species